rnacentral:rRNA from 1 species
GGGUUGUGAGGUUAAGCGACUAAGCGUACACGGUGGAUGCCCUGGCAGUCAGAGGCGAUGAAGGACGUGCUAAUCUGCGAUAAGCGUCGGUAAGGUGAUAUGAACCGUUAUAACCGGCGAUUUCCGAAUGGGGAAACCCAGUGUGUUUCGACACACUAUCAUUAACUGAAUCCAUAGGUUAAUGAGGCGAACCGGGGGAACUGAAACAUCUAAGUACCCCGAGGAAAAGAAAUCAACCGAGAUUCCCCCAGUAGCGGCGAGCGAACGGGGAGCAGCCCAGAGCCUGAAUCAGUGUGUGUGUUAGUGGAAGCGUCUGGAAAGGCGCGCGAUACAGGGUGACAGCCCCGUACACAAAAAUGCACAUGCUGUGAGCUCGAUGAGUAGGGCGGGACACGUGGUAUCCUGUCUGAAUAUGGGGGGACCAUCCUCCAAGGCUAAAUACUCCUGACUGACCGAUAGUGAACCAGUACCGUGAGGGAAAGGCGAAAAGAACCCCGGCGAGGGGAGUGAAAAAGAACCUGAAACCGUGUACGUACAAGCAGUGGGAGCACGCUUCGGCGUGUGACUGCGUACCUUUUGUAUAAUGGGUCAGCGACUUAUAUUCUGUAGCAAGGUUAACCGAAUAGGGGAGCCGAAGGGAAACCGAGUCUUAACUGGGCGUUAAGUUGCAGGGUAUAGACCCGAAACCCGGUGAUCUAGCCAUGGGCAGGUUGAAGGUUGGGUAACACUAACUGGAGGACCGAACCGACUAAUGUUGAAAAAUUAGCGGAUGACUUGUGGCUGGGGGUGAAAGGCCAAUCAAACCGGGAGAUAGCUGGUUCUCCCCGAAAGCUAUUUAGGUAGCGCCUCGUGAAUUCAUCUCCGGGGGUAGAGCACUGUUUCGGCAAGGGGGUCAUCCCGACUUACCAACCCGAUGCAAACUGCGAAUACCGGAGAAUGUUAUCACGGGAGACACACGGCGGGUGCUAACGUCCGUCGUGAAGAGGGAAACAACCCAGACCGCCAGCUAAGGUCCCAAAGUCAUGGUUAAGUGGGAAACGAUGUGGGAAGGCCCAGACAGCCAGGAUGUUGGCUUAGAAGCAGCCAUCAUUUAAAGAAAGCGUAAUAGCUCACUGGUCGAGUCGGCCUGCGCGGAAGAUGUAACGGGGCUAAACCAUGCACCGAAGCUGCGGCAGCGACGCUUAUGCGUUGUUGGGUAGGGGAGCGUUCUGUAAGCCUGUGAAGGUGUGCUGUGAGGCAUGCUGGAGGUAUCAGAAGUGCGAAUGCUGACAUAAGUAACGAUAAAGCGGGUGAAAAGCCCGCUCGCCGGAAGACCAAGGGUUCCUGUCCAACGUUAAUCGGGGCAGGGUGAGUCGACCCCUAAGGCGAGGCCGAAAGGCGUAGUCGAUGGGAAACAGGUUAAUAUUCCUGUACUUGGUGUUACUGCGAAGGGGGGACGGAGAAGGCUAUGUUGGCCGGGCGACGGUUGUCCCGGUUUAAGCGUGUAGGCUGGUUUUCCAGGCAAAUCCGGAAAAUCAAGGCUGAGGCGUGAUGACGAGGCACUACGGUGCUGAAGCAACAAAUGCCCUGCUUCCAGGAAAAGCCUCUAAGCAUCAGGUAACAUCAAAUCGUACCCCAAACCGACACAGGUGGUCAGGUAGAGAAUACCAAGGCGCUUGAGAGAACUCGGGUGAAGGAACUAGGCAAAAUGGUGCCGUAACUUCGGGAGAAGGCACGCUGAUAUGUAGGUGAGGUCCCUCGCGGAUGGAGCUGAAAUCAGUCGAAGAUACCAGCUGGCUGCAACUGUUUAUUAAAAACACAGCACUGUGCAAACACGAAAGUGGACGUAUACGGUGUGACGCCUGCCCGGUGCCGGAAGGUUAAUUGAUGGGGUUAGCGGUAACGCGAAGCUCUUGAUCGAAGCCCCGGUAAACGGCGGCCGUAACUAUAACGGUCCUAAGGUAGCGAAAUUCCUUGUCGGGUAAGUUCCGACCUGCACGAAUGGCGUAAUGAUGGCCAGGCUGUCUCCACCCGAGACUCAGUGAAAUUGAACUCGCUGUGAAGAUGCAGUGUACCCGCGGCAAGACGGAAAGACCCCGUGAACCUUUACUAUAGCUUGACACUGAACAUUGAGCCUUGAUGUGUAGGAUAGGUGGGAGGCUUUGAAGUGUGGACGCCAGUCUGCAUGGAGCCGACCUUGAAAUACCACCCUUUAAUGUUUGAUGUUCUAACGUUGACCCGUAAUCCGGGUUGCGGACAGUGUCUGGUGGGUAGUUUGACUGGGGCGGUCUCCUCCUAAAGAGUAACGGAGGAGCACGAAGGUUGGCUAAUCCUGGUCGGACAUCAGGAGGUUAGUGCAAUGGCAUAAGCCAGCUUGACUGCGAGCGUGACGGCGCGAGCAGGUGCGAAAGCAGGUCAUAGUGAUCCGGUGGUUCUGAAUGGAAGGGCCAUCGCUCAACGGAUAAAAGGUACUCCGGGGAUAACAGGCUGAUACCGCCCAAGAGUUCAUAUCGACGGCGGUGUUUGGCACCUCGAUGUCGGCUCAUCACAUCCUGGGGCUGAAGUAGGUCCCAAGGGUAUGGCUGUUCGCCAUUUAAAGUGGUACGCGAGCUGGGUUUAGAACGUCGUGAGACAGUUCGGUCCCUAUCUGCCGUGGGCGCUGGAGAACUGAGGGGGGCUGCUCCUAGUACGAGAGGACCGGAGUGGACGCAUCACUGGUGUUCGGGUUGUCAUGCCAAUGGCACUGCCCGGUAGCUAAAUGCGGAAGAGAUAAGUGCUGAAAGCAUCUAAGCACGAAACUUGCCCCGAGAUGAGUUCUCCCUGACUCCUUGAGAGUCCUGAAGGAACGUUGAAGACGACGACGUUGAUAGGCCGGGUGUGUAAGCGCAGCGAUGCGUUGAGCUAACCGGUACUAAUGAACCGUGAGGCUUAACCUUACAACGCCGAAG